rnacentral:rRNA from 1 species
GGGUUGUGAGGUUAAGCGACUAAGCGUACACGGUGGAUGCCCUGGCAGUCAGAGGCGAUGAAGGACGUGCUAAUCUGCGAUAAGCGUCGGUGAGGUGAUAUGAAGCGUUAUAACCGGCGAUUUCCGAAUGGGGAAACCCAGUGUGUUUCGACACACUAUCAUUAACUGAAUCCAUAGGUUAAUGAGGCGAACCGGGGGAACUGAAACAUCUAAGUACCCCGAGGAAAAGAAAUCAACCGAGAUUCCCCCAGUAGCGGCGAGCGAACGGGGAGGAGCCCAGAGCCUGAAUCAGUGUGUGUGUUAGUGGAAGCGUCUGGAAAGGCGUGCGAUACAGGGUGACAGCCCCGUACACAAAAAUGCACAUAUUGUGAGCUCGAUGAGUAGGGCGGGACACGUGGUAUCCUGUCUGAAUAUGGGGGGACCAUCCUCCAAGGCUAAAUACUCCUGACUGACCGAUAGUGAACCAGUACCGUGAGGGAAAGGCGAAAAGAACCCCGGCGAGGGGAGUGAAAAAGAACCUGAAACCGUGUACGUACAAGCAGUGGGAGCCUCUUAAUGGGGUGACUGCGUACCUUUUGUAUAAUGGGUCAGCGACUUAUAUUCUGUAGCAAGGUUAACCGAAUAGGGGAGCCGAAGGGAAACCGAGUCUUAACUGGGCGUUAAGUUGCAGGGUAUAGACCCGAAACCCGGUGAUCUAGCCAUGGGCAGGUUGAAGGUUGGGUAACACUAACUGGAGGACCGAACCGACUAAUGUUGAAAAAUUAGCGGAUGACUUGUGGCUGGGGGUGAAAGGCCAAUCAAACCGGGAGAUAGCUGGUUCUCCCCGAAAGCUAUUUAGGUAGCGCCUCGUGAAUUCAUCUCCGGGGGUAGAGCACUGUUUCGGCAAGGGGGUCAUCCCGACUUACCAACCCGAUGCAAACUGCGAAUACCGGAGAAUGUUAUCACGGGAGACACACGGCGGGUGCUAACGUCCGUCGUGAAGAGGGAAACAACCCAGACCGCCAGCUAAGGUCCCAAAGUCAUGGUUAAGUGGGAAACGAUGUGGGAAGGCCCAGACAGCCAGGAUGUUGGCUUAGAAGCAGCCAUCAUUUAAAGAAAGCGUAAUAGCUCACUGGUCGAGUCGGCCUGCGCGGAAGAUGUAACGGGGCUAAACCAUGCACCGAAGCUGCGGCAGCGACACUAUGUGUUGUUGGGUAGGGGAGCGUUCUGUAAGCCUGUGAAGGUGGCCUGUGAGGGUUGCUGGAGGUAUCAGAAGUGCGAAUGCUGACAUAAGUAACGAUAAAGCGGGUGAAAAGCCCGCUCGCCGGAAGACCAAGGGUUCCUGUCCAACGUUAAUCGGGGCAGGGUGAGUCGACCCCUAAGGCGAGGCCGAAAGGCGUAGUCGAUGGGAAACAGGUUAAUAUUCCUGUACUUGGUGUUACUGCGAAGGGGGGACGGAGAAGGCUAUGUUGGCCGGGCGACGGUUGUCCCGGUUUAAGCGUGUAGGCUGGUUUUCCAGGCAAAUCCGGAAAACCAAGGCUGAGGCGUGAUGACGAGGCACUACGGUGCUGAAGUGACAAAUGCCCUGCUUCCAGGAAAAGCCUCUAAGCAUCAGGUAACAUCAAAUCGUACCCCAAACCGACACAGGUGGUCAGGUAGAGAAUACCAAGGCGCUUGAGAGAACUCGGGUGAAGGAACUAGGCAAAAUGGUGCCGUAACUUCGGGAGAAGGCACGCUGAUAUGUAGGUGAAGCGACUUGCUCGUGGAGCUGAAAUCAGUCGAAGAUACCAGCUGGCUGCAACUGUUUAUUAAAAACACAGCACUGUGCAAACACGAAAGUGGACGUAUACGGUGUGACGCCUGCCCGGUGCCGGAAGGUUAAUUGAUGGGGUUAGCGGUAACGCGAAGCUCUUGAUCGAAGCCCCGGUAAACGGCGGCCGUAACUAUAACGGUCCUAAGGUAGCGAAAUUCCUUGUCGGGUAAGUUCCGACCUGCACGAAUGGCGUAAUGAUGGCCAGGCUGUCUCCACCCGAGACUCAGUGAAAUUGAACUCGCUGUGAAGAUGCAGUGUACCCGCGGCAAGACGGAAAGACCCCGUGAACCUUUACUAUAGCUUGACACUGAACAUUGAGCCUUGAUGUGUAGGAUAGGUGGGAGGCUUUGAAGUGUGGACGCCAGUCUGCAUGGAGCCGACCUUGAAAUACCACCCUUUAAUGUUUGAUGUUCUAACGUUGGCCCGUAAUCCGGGUUGCGGACAGUGUCUGGUGGGUAGUUUGACUGGGGCGGUCUCCUCCUAAAGAGUAACGGAGGAGCACGAAGGUUGGCUAAUCCUGGUCGGACAUCAGGAGGUUAGUGCAAUGGCAUAAGCCAGCUUGACUGCGAGCGUGACGGCGCGAGCAGGUGCGAAAGCAGGUCAUAGUGAUCCGGUGGUUCUGAAUGGAAGGGCCAUCGCUCAACGGAUAAAAGGUACUCCGGGGAUAACAGGCUGAUACCGCCCAAGAGUUCAUAUCGACGGCGGUGUUUGGCACCUCGAUGUCGGCUCAUCACAUCCUGGGGCUGAAGUAGGUCCCAAGGGUAUGGCUGUUCGCCAUUUAAAGUGGUACGCGAGCUGGGUUUAGAACGUCGUGAGACAGUUCGGUCCCUAUCUGCCGUGGGCGCUGGAGAACUGAGGGGGGCUGCUCCUAGUACGAGAGGACCGGAGUGGACGCAUCACUGGUGUUCGGGUUGUCAUGCCAAUGGCACUGCCCGGUAGCUAAAUGCGGAAGAGAUAAGUGCUGAAAGCAUCUAAGCACGAAACUUGCCCCGAGAUGAGUUCUCCCUGAGACUUAGAGUCUCCUGAAGGAACGUUGAAGACGACGACGUUGAUAGGCCGGGUGUGUAAGCGCAGCGAUGCGUUGAGCUAACCGGUACUAAUGAACCGUGAGGCUUAACCUUACAACGCCGAAG